rnacentral:rRNA from 1 species
GAUGAACGCUGGCGGCGUGCCUAAUACAUGCAAGUCGAGCGAACAGACGAUGAGCUUGCUCCUUUGACGUUAGCGGCGGACGGGUGAGUAACACGUGGGUAACCUACCUAUAAGACUGGGAUAACUUCGGGAAACCGGAGCUAAUACCGGAGAAUAUUUCGAACCGCAUGGUUCGAUAGUGAAAGAUGGCUUUGCUAUCACUUAUAGAUGGACCUGCGCCGUAUUGGCGAGUUGGUAAGGUAACGGCUUACCAAGGCAACGAUCCGUAGCCGACCUGAGAGGGUGAUCGGCCACACUGGAACUGAGCCAGGGUCCAGACUCCUACGGGAGGCAGCAGUAGGGAAUCUUCGGCAAUGGGGGAGAGCCUGACGGAGCAACGCCGCGUGAGUGAUGACGGUCUUCGGAUCGUAAAACUCUGUUAUUAGGGAAGAACAAACGUGUAAGUAACUGAGCCCGUCUUGACGGUACCUAAUAAGAAAGCCACGGCUAACUACGUG